UCGCAAGUCAUGCACUGUCCCAGCAGCUUCUCUUCCCUGUUCCUCUCGUGAGCGUUUUUUUUCUGCCCACAAAAUGAACAAUGAAUUGCAUCAUCCAUUCUUGCGAGUGGGUGGACAUCAAUUUCCCUCUUUGUUUGUUUUUCCGGUUUAAGCAUCUAGUAUUUAAAGCUCACUAACAAUUUAAAUUUAUGUCGCGUAAGGUUUACCAGAUGGGAAGGGCUCUCGCACCCUACUAGAAAUUUUUUAAUUUUCAUGAUUCUAAUUCGAAAUUCCAAACUAAAAAUAAAGGAAUCUUAUUUAUCAUAUCAUACUUUUUUUGGUUUGGUUGGCACUAACCUUACCUAGCUAUUAAGCCAUCUAAGAUAAUGUUAGGCAAAUAAGCACUCAUCAUUAACUUUCUGUGAUAAAAAAAUUUAGAAAACUAUUUUCUCUCGAAGCUAUUAAGACAUCUACGAUAAUGUUAGGCAAAAUAACACUCGUGCCUUCCGUCCAACUUUUCAGCUCUUUCGAUCUUUUCCAUUUUAGUAUUUCCCCAUCGUUAUCUUUUGUGAUUAAAUUUUUCGGAAACCAUUUUCUCAAGAGGAAAACUUUGCUAUUGAACAGCACCGGUCGUCUACUCUAGAGGCGUCGCUAGAAGUGCCCGUGUAGCGACGUAGGCAUAUAAAUUUUAUUAAAAUUAAAUCCAUAAGAUAAUUUGAAUUGUAUUUUAAAUUCAAGAUAUAUCAGUCCAAAAUAAAUAUUAUGUGCUAAUAUAAUUGAAUUAAUUAUAUAAAUCCAAUAUAUAUAGAUUAAAUAAAUAAGUCUUAAUCUAUUGGGCUAGCUCAUUUAAUUGGGCCAAAGCGAUGAGCACACUUAAUUAAGCCCAAGAUGUCGUCUUCUUACAGGCCUAGUAUGGUGCCACGUGUUGAAUGAUGUGGCAUGGGCAAGUCAAACAGAAGAGUCAAUGGGAUCAUGCUACCUGUCAAAAUGACAAUGCAUGCCAAGUCAAAUUAAAAGGACAAUGAAAUCACACCACAUGUGCGAGUGGCAUGUUCUGACCAAUCAAAUAGGGCCUUGUCACUCUUCAAUCUGAUUGUUCGGAUAGAGUUUGUUCUCAUCACAACUCUUCCCUCCCACAACUAUAAACAGGGGUCUUCAUAACCUAUAAAAGACACCCAAAGUUAUAACAAGAAACAAGAGAGAGCUCGUAGAUCAAACGGCGCAGAUUUCCUACAAGUUUCAAGCUUCAAGCAAUCAAGUUCAAGUUUAAGAAAUCAAGUUCAAGCUCAAGAACGAAGAACAAAUCAAGAUUCAAGGAGUACGAGUUCAAAUCAAAGUUUGUGCUAGUUGAAUCCAAGAUCAUCAUUCGUGGCAACAAAUAUAGAUUCAAGAUCAAUCUCUAACUUAAUAGAAUGCUCAAUCUGUUGAGUUAGUUACACCAACCGAGGAUGAAGUCUCGGCACUUUGGGGUGAAUUUGAUUUGGUAGAAAAUUCCAACUCCCAUUUCUAGGCCCUAGUUGUUGUGCCCGGUGCUGCAGGACUGAUUAUCUGGUUCUUGCCAUCUUCGGUUGGCAAGCAUCCCACAACUAACACUACGUUUGUCGGGGUUGAUUCUCAUCCUUCACCGCCAUCAGCUUCAUAUCCUUCUUCCCUAGCUCUUCCAUCAAAAACUGCUACGACAUCUCCAUCGGCCACACCUGACCAAGAAAAAGGUGUUCCUCUUCCCUAGUCCCCAAUUCAUGGGAAUUUGGGGCAAACUUAUGCUGCCCCCUUUGAAGAUCUGCAAGGGAGGAGGAAUGUUAUUCUUUCGGUCUCCACCGGAUGCAACUUGUUAUCACAUCCGGUGGAACUUGCUAAUUAUCUGAAGCUUUUGGCCUCAAAAAAAUAGAUUGGAAAAAGAUCCAGGCUCUCUCGGGAUAGUGCUUGUUGAACAACGCCAUGCACCACGCCAUAAUAGUAUAUUCCUUACCUCCUUUAUUAUUUCUUCUAUUUUUCCUAAACAUAUCCUGAGUUUUUCCUUUCUUGCUUUGUAGGCCAACUUUCUUGCUUUCGAGGGCCUUCGGUGGUUGAUUCGUGUGAAGGAAGAAAUUACCUCUGCUUGGGAUCAGCUUUUGGCAGCACGGGAAUAAAGUGUUACUCGCCUAUCGGAACUGGAAGCCAAAGCCACUAAGGCCAUUGUACCAGAAGCUCGUUUGCAACAAAGCAAGCAAGAGGUGGAAACCCUUAGCCAAGAGAUCGCCCCACUGAGGGUUCAAUUUGAAGAGGCCAAAUGGGUUGAAGUCCAUAAUGUCGUUCUUGCUGCGUCCGAUCAUGAGGCUGCCUCUAUUGAAAGAUCGACUAAUUUAGAGGCAGCCUUGAAUUCCAAGACUGAAGAGCUUGCUGCUGCGGUGGUGAAAUAUGCCCGGUUGGAAGAGAAGUAUAAAAAGACACUUGAGCACAAUAGAAUUUUCAGCUCUACUGUCUGUGAUCUUGACGUUAGCCUCAAGUCCAUUAGAUCCACCCGGGAAAAUCUUUGUGCCGAGGUGACUCAACUCAAAGACGAACUUAAGAUUUAGAGGAUUCCUUCAUUGUUGAGAAAACUUAUGCCAUAUGCAACAUGAGGAGAAAAACCUUAGAAGAGGCCAAAGCUAGUAGCAUUGAUUUUUAUGCUAAAAUUCCUAAGACCCGUGAACUUGAGUUGGCUGCUAAAAAUGGACUCCAAGCGGAUCCCUCAGAAGAGCCUGAUGCUCCUGAUUCUUCUGGUUCCGGUUCUGAAUUUUCGGGAACAGAAGAGGAACCGAAAGGUGAUGAUAUUGAGGGCCAAAUUAUUGAGGCAUUGGUGAAUCUUCCUACUUCCCCUGGGGGUGCGGACACUUCUCUUCCUCAGAGAUCCGAAGAGGCAACAGUUUAGCUUUUCCUUUAUUUUUCCAACUUUUGUACUUGUGUUAUUUUGUCACUUUUAUUGUUAAUAAAACAUCUUUUUCUCAAGUAUUGCACGAGUAUUUUUGCGUUCUUUCGUUUGAGCAUUUAUGCAAGUUUAAACCUUUGCAUUCAUUUUUGCUUAAGUGUUUUGUAAAAGUUUUACUAUUUGCGUCUGAUUAUGCAAGGCCUUGGGUGUAUUUUUUUUCACCAGAAGCAUCUGUAUUUCCGGCACAAACGCAUCCAAAAUCAACCCUUUAAAAUGAGAUUUUUUGUAAGUAUUUGCGCAAGUUUGCUUUUUGCGUCUUUUUGUACAAGGCUUCGAGUGUAUUUUUUUCCCGAAGGCAUUUUGAUUCCGGGCAUAACUUGUUCUGAAAUCAAUCCUUUAAUGUGAGAGUUUUCAUAAGAGGGCCCUCUUAUGUUUACGGUGCUCUUGAAGAGGAUGUCUCAUAUUUAAUACGGCACUAGCAUUUAAAGUAUUUGUUUAACUUUUAAAUAACACAAAUAAUUCAUCGUUCAGAGAAGAAAAAAGAUAGAAAUAAAAGGAAUUCAUUUUAUUCCUUCCAUUUUCAAAAAGUAGAUAAGCAUUUGUUAUGCUAAAAAAGAAAUUUCCAUUAUUUGUGGCUAACUUGUACAACUUGUUUCUAUGGGGCUGGUCGCGCAGUCCCCGAUCAUAAUGAUACAACUAUGUUUUUGGUUUUUUUUUUCUGGUCGACGUGGCAGUCAUUGUUGCCUUAUCCUCGUAUCAUUCCCCUUAGUGUUCGAAUGCGAACAAUGUGAAUUGGAACACUGGAAGUUUUGCACCUUCGAGGACCCCAUUAAUUAAUUGCUAGACAUUCUUAUACUCGGUAACAAACUUCGCUUCCCCUUAGGAAUUUAUGCUAUCAAGCAAAAGACUAUCUAACAAUCCUUUAAUGGUUUGCACUUGUGAAUGGUCGGGUAACAUUUAUCCUAUAGCAAACUUAACUUACCCGUGGGAAUUUUUCUAUAGAGACAAAGACUAUCUAACCGUUCUAGAGUGUCUCUUUGCUUGUGUGCCUUGUUAUUAAGGUCUUAUUUUUGUUAAAGCUUUCAUCGUAGUAUACUUUCUGUUGCUGCCUCAUUAAAAACAUUGCUAGAAAAAUCCAAUUGGGACAAAAGCUGGAUGAAGGGAAAAAAAGUGCAGCACAUACCUUUAGUUCAGGCGAUGUUCAUUAGCAAAUAUCUUUUGAGGUGUGCCAUGUUCCAAUUGAUAGGCAAAUUUUCUCCAUCUUGAUUGUCCAAUUCAUACGAACCUUUCUCGGUGAUAGCUGAAAUCCGGUAGGGGCCUUCCCAUGUUGGACCUAGCUUCUCUGCAUUAAGCUCCUAGGUGUUUUGAGUUACCUUCCUCAAGACCAAGUCUCCUACUUUGAAAUAACGGAGGUUGGCUCUUCGAUUAUAUUAUCUUUCCAUUCUCCGCUUUUGGGUUGGCAUUCUUACAUGCACUAAGUCCUUGCGCUCAUCGAGUAGCUCCAAGUUGACUAACAUUGCUUCAUUGUUUGAUUCUUCAUCUGCUUUGAAUAUCUCAACAUGGGUUCCCCUACUUCCACCGAGAUUAAUGCUUCUGCGCCAUACACAAAGGAAAAAGGAGUUUCUCUUGUGCUUGAUUUGGCUGUUGUUCGGUAUGCCCAUAAGACUCAGGGUAACUCCUUGGGUCAUUUUCCUUUAGCCGCUUGCAACCUUUUCUUGAGGUUUUGUAUAAUCACUUUAUUCGUUGACUCUGCUUGACCAUUUGCGCUCGGAUGGUAGGGUGAAGAUGUGAUCCUCUUUAUUUUCAAAUCUUCGAGGAACUUUGUGACUUCUGUGCUGAUGAAUUGUGGCCCAUUAUCGCAUAUAUCUCUUUUGGUAUUCUGAACCUGCAAAUUAUGUUUUUCCACAAGAAAUCCACCACUUCAUGCUCGCUGAUCUUUUGAUAAGGAACUGCUUCCACCCACUUAGAAAAAUAGUCAGUUAAAAUCAAAAGAAAUCUUACCUUACCGGGAGUCGGCGACAGUGGUCCAACGAUGUCCAUCCCCCAUUUCAAGAAUGGCCAUGGGGACAUAACCGAAUGCAAUGGUUCUGCUAGUUGAUGUACCAGUGGUGCAUAGCAUUGGCACUUAUUGCAUUUUUGUACAAAGUCUUUGGUGUCUUGCUCCAUGUGGGGCUAAUAAUAUCCUGCCUUUACCAGCUUUAGCACUAAGGAAUUUGCGCCCGAAUGGUUUUCGCAUAUCCCUUUGUGAACUUCUCAUAUUACAUAAUUAGCUUUGGAUGCCCCCAAACAUCGGGCCAGGGGCCUUAGAAAUAUUUUCUGUACAGUUGGCCUCUUUUUAAGCUAUACCGUGUUGCGUUGGCGUGCAGUGCUCUGGGUGCCUUGGAGUCUUUGGGCAGUUUCUCGUGCUUGAUAUAAUCGAUGAUUUCAUUCCUCUAGUCCCAGACCAAAUUAGUCGUAUUUACCUCAUAGUAGAUAUCCGCAUCUAGGACAGAGUUCAUCAGUUGUACUAUUAUCCCGACUUUGAUCCCUUUAUUUUUUUCGAUGAGCUGAGGUUAGCCAAUGCAUCUGGUUCUGCAUUUACUUCCCUCAGGAUAUGAGUAAUCGACCACUCCAGAAAUCGAGCCAACCGAGCCUGCACCUUUAUCACGUAUUAUUUCAUGUGCUCCUAUUUGGUUUCAAAAUUCUCAUAGACCUGAUUUACCACUAUCUGUGAGUCGCAUUUGACUUCUAUUACCUCGGAAUCUAGUCCCCGAGUCAGUUCGAGCCCUGCAAUCAAAGCCUCAUACUCUACUUUAUUAUUAGUUAAAGGGAUCAUUCUAAUGGCUUGCCUUAGGGUUUCUGCCGAAGGCGUGAUUAAUACUAUUCCAAGACCGGACCCUUUUACACUGGUAUCUCCGUCCAUAAAUAAGGUUGAAACCCCCGAUGUUGAUUCUGACACCAUUACUACCUCUUUGAUUGCCAGAGGAAGCAAUCCCGAACUAAAAUCAGCUGCAACGCCAGCCUAGAUUUGUGACCUAAUCGCAGUCCUUGGUUUAUAUUCUAUGUCAAACUCACUCAUUUCGAUGGCCCACUUGGCCAACCUACCCAAGAUUUCGGGUUUGUGGAGUAUGUUCCGUAGAGGAAAAGUGGUCACCACGGCUAUUGGAUGACAUUGGAAAUAGGGCCUCAGCUUUCGAGUGGCGACUACGAGAGCUAAGGCCAGUUUCUCCAAAUGCGGGUAGCGAGUUUCUGCUCCUAUUAAAUUUUUACUAACGUAAUAAAUGGGAGAUUGCAUUCCUUUAUUCUCACGAACUAAAACUGCACUUAUCGCGACUUCCAAGACUGCGAGGUAGACUAACAGUGUUUCACCUUCCUUUGGUUUAGAAAGUAGCGAAGGGCUUGACAAGUACCUUUUCAAAUAUUUUAAAGCCUGCUGGCACUCCUGGUUCCAUUGGAAGUUGUUUUUCUUUUUUAGCAGUGCAAAGAAAUGGUGACAUUUCUCUGAUGACUCGAAAAUGAACCUGCUCAACGCUGCCAAUAUUCCCGUGAGCCUUUGGACCUCUUUCAUGCUUGACAGCUUGUCCGGGAUGUCUUCGAUAGACUUGAUCUUAUCAGGGUUUACUUCAAUCCCCCUUUGCGAUACCAAAAAUCCCAGGAACUUGCCAGUACUGACCCAGAACGCGCAUUUCUUGGGGUUAAGAUUCAUGUUAUGCUUCCUUAGGAUGUCAAAUGUUUCUUGUAGAUGCUUAAGGUGAUCGCCUAUAUUCAAAGACUUAACAAGCAUAUCGUCUAUAUAAACUUCCAUAGUGUUUGCUAUUUGUUUUUGAAACAUCUUGUUCACGAGUCGCUGAUAAGUGGCUCCAGCAUUCUUCAACCCGAAGGCAUCACAAUAUAGAAAUAUUUGUCGAAAUUUGUUAUGAACGAAGUUUUUUCCUGAUCCUUCCGGUUCAUCUUAAUUUGGUUGUACUCGGAAUAAGCAUUGAGGAAACUCAUUAACUCGUGCCCGGACUUCGCAUCUAUCAUUUGAUCAAUGUUUGGUAGUGGGAACGAGUCUUUCGAGCAUGCCUUAUUCAAGUCCUUAAAAUCUACACAUAUGUGAAAUUUGUUGUUCUUCUUAGGAACUACAUUAGCUAGCCAGUGGGGUGAAUUUACCUCUCGGAUUGACCCGAUAUAAAGUAAGCGAGUUACCUCUUCUUUCAAGAAUUUAUUCCUGGCUUUUGCAAUAGGGCAUUUCUUUUGUCUUACUGGAGGUAUGUUGGGGUCCAUACUUAACUUGUGUGCGGCUACCUCCGUCGGGAUACUAGUGUGUCGUUAUGCGAUAACAACAAUCUGUCUACAUCCUUGUAUGCGGCGAAAUGAGAGGGCAUAAUUUCUUGCUAUCAAGUCACUUCAGAAGAAUGUCUCGAGAGCCCGAGGAUGCGGAGUUGCGGCCGAGUUCCCUUCCUCGGGGCUCGUCGAGGACCGACUCAAAGAAGACGAAGAUUGAGGCUAGAGAAAAAUGGAGAAUUCCCAAAGCACAUGGCUAAGUCUGAUAGAGUCGGCCUACCCAGAGCCUGUAUCGAGGAGUCGCGUCUAGCCGUCCCAUCUCCAUGAUUUUACAAUUAAUGCGCGUUGUACUAUAACAACAUUCCCCUCCUAUAUAAAGGGAAUCCUCACCACUUUGUAAAGAGUUGUUGUUGCUCCAACCAUUCUACACAAGAUCAAUAACAACUCUCUCUCUCUCUAUCUUCUCUCUACUUACUCGCUCGAGGCGACUCUUUCCAUUUAUUGCUUUCAUACUAUGUUCUUCUUUUAUUGCUUGAUAUUGGUCAUAAAGAGCCUUCUUUAAUCAUAUCUUAACUGUUAUUCCCUUCCCGGUUAUCCCCGAUAGCUCGAGCUCGAGCCCAGGUAUCGAACUCGAGCCUAGGCAUUAACCUCGAGGCCCCUCAUCGGCCAGUCCGAGGCCCGAGUAGCUAGCCCCUCGGUUUGAUUACUGCCCCAUUUUAGCUUGUAUUUCGUCGAUUAAACUUCACAUAUUUAGCAUCCAAUGCUCUAACAACUAGCAUAAAAAUAGAUCACAUAUUUUUAGAGUCUCAUUUACAAAUUUAAUUAUUAUUACCAUUUUCACGGUAAACAGUUUAGCGCCCACCGUGGGGCUAAACAUAAUAGUGAUUAUUUUCUUGCUGGUUUCAUUACACAACGCAAGUUAUCUUUCACUCUUUUUCUUGUCCAAGAUAUUUUGAUUUCAGGACAAAAUGUCUGGCUCAGUAAAGAGAGUCGAGAACGACGACCUCGGAAACCACGGGGAAAAUGAUAUGGUUGUUCCAGUCGUCGGGCGUGCCACCGCAGAAUCCUGAUAAAGUAGCCAGACCGAUUUCAGCAGAUGCGGAUUCGUAGGACGCACAGUAGGUCGACGAAACCUCACACACCGACAGGAGCAUGCGGCAUGACGACUAAUAAGAAGCCCAAAAAAUCCCAACUUGGGAAGAACAGGAAGUUAGUCUUCAUAUUAUUUUAGAAAUGUUCCAGGCACAACAGUUGGCUAUCGCUCAGUUGCAAAGCCACCCGAAUACUCCCAGCACAGUAGCACCGGAAACAGCUCCCUCAGCCGAACAUGUACCCGGGAGAUCGAGCAAUAACGGAUCGAUAACCGACUCUGCCAUAGUAAAAAUACUUGAGGAUCUCACCAAAAGAAUCGAAUCAGGUAAGAAAAUGAUAGCAACCAAUGAUAAGAAGGUCAAGACCUAUAACUCUAGGGUCAACAAGAUCCCGGGUGCACCCCCGGUCCUCAAGGGCGUGGAUUUGAAAGAGUUCAUACAAAGGUCGUUCCCCAAGGAAGCAGCCCCAAAACCCAUUCCAAAGAAGUCCGGGAUGACAGAACUCUCAAAGUACAAUGGGACCUCAGAUCCCAACGAACACAUCACUGCCUAUACUUGCGCGGUGAAAGGCAAUGACACAAAAGACGAUGAGAUCGAGUCCAUCUUAUUGAAGAGGUUCGGGGAAACGCUCUCGAAGGGGGCCAUGAUAUGGCAUAAUAGCCUAGCUCCCAAUCCCAUAAACUCACUUACCAUACUACAGGAUUCCUUCAUAAAGGCACACGUCGGUACCAUCGAAGCAAUGUCGAGAAAGCCCGACGCAUUCGAGAUUAAGCAAAGGGAGAAUGAAAUGCUGCGAGAAUUCUCAUCUCAUUCCCAGAUGGAACGAAUGGAACUACCCCCGAUCUCAAUUGAUUGGGCGGUGCAGGACUUCACUCAAAACCUAAACAAACAAAGCCCGGUGAUUUCAAGGCAAUUGAAACAGAACUUGAUCGGGUAUCCAGCCAAAACCUGGUCAGACAUCCACAUCUGGCACCAGUCGCAAAUCAGGGUCGUGGAUGACCAGCUGGGAGCCCCCUCAGGCUCAGUAUACCCAAGCAGGCUCCUAGCAAAGAAAUCGAUGCCAAAGAAAGAAAAAUAUCGCCCUUAUGCUGCAGAUAGGAGGAAUGCCUCGAGAUGCAACCUACCUCGCAACGAUCGGAGAAUAGAUCGAGGGUAAUAUCCUCGAGGAAUCGUCAACAGAGCCAAAUUCAACAGGGACACGAGGCCAGUGAGGGCACCUUGCCCAUCAGGAUAAAAUUUCAACAUCGUUAUAUCAAACAUCGUGUUCACCGUCAGCAAAACCAGGGACGCCAAAUGGCCCAGACCUAUUCAGUCAAAUCCCUCUCAGAGGAAUCACAGCUUGGUGUGUGAACUAUAUAAUACACAAGGCCACGGGGCCGAAGAUGGCCACCAACUCCGAAGGAAAAAAGCCAAGCUACUCAAUAAAAAUAGCCGCCGAGAACUAUCGAGCGACAGACUCAAGUUCAGUUCCGAAUAAGGAAGGUGACCAUGAAGAAUGAAGCAAAUGGGUCGUGACAUAUUACCAUGAUAGCGGAUGAGCGACGACACUCUCCAAUAACUUAUAAAGAGGAGGGUAAAAAUGCCUGUCACUAGAGAAAAGCGGAUCCGGGGAUAUAUUCUUGAGGAUCCCCUCACAAUCGGCAAAGAGGAUGCCAAGACCUUGUCUCCGCCUCACACUGACACACUGGUAACCUUCUUUCUCAUUCGAUCCAUAUCAAAUAAAACACGUGCUUAUGAAUUCAGGUGGCUCGAUCAACAUUAUCGGGCCGAGGAUGAUAUGGCGGCUCGGACCGCCGGACCAAAUCACGCCUGCCUCUCGAAUCUUUGGCGGAUGUCAUACAGCGAUCGAGAAGACGAUAAGAAAGACCAUUCUCUCAGUCAGCAUAGCUGGCGCAGACCGAAUCGCCAAGUUUCGUAACAUCAAAGGAGGCACAAGGCAUGAACGCCUUAUUCAGAUGGUCGUGGAUGCACUACGUGAAAGCGGUGUCGUUGCCUCUUCACCAAAGGAUAAAAUCCCCCGCAAGGCACGGAAUUAAAAUCGUCGGCAGGGAGCAACAUGCGGAAAGGGGAAUGUUCGCGUCACAUAACGUAUCGUCGGCACCAAUAUCUCCACUCUCGAAAGAGUCAAAGGGUAAUCAAACUAUGUCUUCGGCCAAGCUCGAUUAAACACAGUGGAGGGAUAGCUCCAAAAUAGCAGGGACAUAUCGGGCCUCGGAAUAUCGCCUGCUCAUCCCGCGAUAAGGUAAGACCACCUCCCUCCUUCGUUAUUUUACACUAACCUGUAUGCAGACACCCGGCCAGGGCGUUGGGAAGUGUUAACCCUACCCGAAGAUCCCAAGGCCUUAAUGGCACCCGUUGCACUCUUUCUCCUCGGCCGAACUUUCACCCCGAAGAGGGUAUGGCCAGCAAGGUUCUCAGUGGGGUAACGUGCCUCCUAAGGAGGAUCCGACAAACUCGCAUGGCUCCUUUUGCAAUCAACCCCGAACGUUGGAAGGCACCCCCCUUGAAGAUGUCGUCCGCUUGGAAGGUCCGGGGAACGACAGACUAAGUUCCAAUAGGAAAUAAUGUACCAUGUCAAACGGUCAAAAGAGUCGUGCCCACGCAGGCCGAGCUCACCGCAACGAAACAACAUGUACUUACGCUAAGCAAUCAAAGGAUAUAUUUUGCCAAAAGCAUCUCGUACUCCAAAGAAAAUUCAGCAUACUCAUGGCACGGAUCCCUCCAUCAAGUACGUCCCUAAAUACUCAGAGACUUAGUGUUAACAAUUUGAUACCCACAUGACCUCAAGGUCGAAACUUCGUGCUCGUAAGACAUCGACGAGGCAAUUUCAAGCUCACGAUUAACAGCUUUCGAGCCUAAGCAAACUCGAUGACUCGGAGACUGUCGUCAAUCGCCAUUUACUAAAAACCCCUAGGUCGUAAGACCCCGAGAGGGGCAAACUCGGUCUGGCCAGAUUUAUUUUACAUUACAACAAAAAAUAACUGUAAGACCUCAACAUGCAUGAAAAAACUGUAAGACCUCAACAGGCAUGAAAAAACUGUAAGACCUCAACAGGCAUGAAAAUUUUGUAAGACCUUACUACAGGCAUAUAACUCAAUCCCGAAGUUCAGGCUAUAUGUCGUAUUUGUAAGACUCCCGAAAGGGCAUACCCUUGAUAUAGACGCCUAAACUGCCACACAUAGGAUCACAAAUGGCUCCUACCAAACACAAAUGACUAUGGUCAAUAUGGUUGCACCAGCCAAAUUAACGCGACUCGGGGAAGCCCGACUGUUGCUAACAAAAUCAGAGGCCAUUACUUCGAAUCUACUUCGAAAAGAACCGGUUAAAACAGGCUACCCUCAAUAGGCAAAAGAGCUUCGACCAUGUCAGCUCCAAAUCAGAAGGCUUCGGGCUACUCAGCCUACGAGCUAAACCUUUCGAGGUGCUCGAACAUCGCCACCAACGACUUGAAAUCGAGGUUCUUCUCGAACCGAUGAUGGGCCAAGCAAAAUCAUUUCAAAAAGUCCUUAACGAGAGGUAAACAAAGACUACAUAUGCCCAUGCGCAAAAGCGUAAGAGCCAUUAUUGCCAGCCAAAUGAGCCUUAGGGCCACAUACUAAAAGGUCGCAACGACCAAAAGCGUAAGAGCCACUGUCGCCAACUUAAAAUUUGAAAACUUGAGGAUUAAAAUGAGCUCGAGUCGUAACCCAAUUCGGAGACCAGAUCCAAAAUAGUUAACUAUACAUGCCUAAGAGCACAGCGUAAGAGCCAUCGUCACCAGCUUCACAAGCCUAAAGGCCACAUACAUAAGAGGUCGCUUCGACCCAAGGUGUAAGAGCCAUUGCCGCCAGCUCUAAAAAAAACUUGAGGGCCAAUUAAGCUCGAGUCGCAACCCGACUCAGAGAAUGAACCCAAAAUAAUUAAAAUACAAAUGCCCAAGGGCAAGGCAUAAGAUCCAUUGUCGGCCACCCAUGCAGAUGUAAAAGCUUGAGGGUCGAAUAGGCUCGAGUCGAAACCCGACUCAGAGACUAAACUCAAAACAGUUGAACAAAGCAUAAGAGCUUUAAUGUCAGCUUGCGCUAAAGGCCGCAUCAACCAAGCAUAUAAAAGCCUCUAGGCCUGCCUGAUGAGCUCCGGCACCGUAUUACGAAUCUAAUAAUUCUCGCCAAAUCCGAAACCAGCCCGCCUGGUCAAAAGCAAAGUAGAAAGGGAUACAUAAGAGAUAAACUUCAGGUUUUCUUUUAUUUACAUACGCAAAAAGGUGUGUUCUCCAUCUACAAAUGCGCUCUGCGAAUAUCACAUACAAAAUGGCAAAGUCUAUGCUCCAUUUCAAAAGGCUACGGCCCACCAGCCUCGUCUUCACUCUCCGAGGCAUCGGCCGCUCUCGCUCAAGCCAGCUCUUCCGGAAGAACAAACCCCUAACACUGACCUCUUCGAGUACCUCUCUUCAGGAUCUGCAACGAACAUAUUCUUCGAUCCUCUUUGCACGAUCGAGGGACCUCUUCAACUCGGCUUGGGCAUCAAAAGCAUCCUUCAAAUGAAUCGCCAUCUCCUGAACAGCCCUAGUCCGACUCAAUGUUACUUCAGCCCGAGCAUCAAUGAUUUCAGCCCGACCUUUGAAAGUUCUGACUCGAGCUUCACGAUCAUAUCCGCUUGAACAGAAACGUUGUCACUGUCACACCUCCUUUUUGCCUACAUUCUUGGAAGGGUAUAAGGGAGUUUUUCCAAUUAAAGGACAAUCGAAACGGGAUUUAUUGUUAAAUGAUUCAGAGUCGCCACUUGAGAGAUUUAUGGUGUCCCAAGUCACCGGUUGAAUCCCGAAUCGAGUAAAAGCUUGACUCUGUUUAACAGUCUGUGAACCAGAAAUCCGAGUAAGGAAUUAUGUUAACCCGGGAGAAGGUGUUAGGCAUUCCCAAGUUCCGUGGUUCUAGCACGGUCGCUCAACUGUUAUGUUCGGCUUAAUUAUAUGAUUUUAAACAAUUAUGAACCUAUGUGCAGAUUUUAACUUUCAAACCGCUUUUAUUUAAUUUUAGGAAGUUUCAAUGUUAUCUAAAACACAUCUUGAACCACGCCACAUGAAAUGCACCUGCGGUCCAUGACACAUUUUAUUUAACAUUGUUGAGAAUUGAAAUUGGGUCGCAUGAAAUGCACACCCGAAAUUAGUAAUUAAAGAAAAUCAAUUUGGGGAACGCUCCUAAAGCAAACUACGGUGUUCAUGAAUUGUUAACUUCUAAUACUGUUUUGAGAUACAUUGUAAGGUGUAUGGAUUAUGGAGCAGUUCUGGAUCAUAUCCCAGCAUUGCUAUUAGUGAGAAGACAUUGCUACUGCUUUACUUUUUUCUUGGUCGAAAUACACUACUAUUAGUGAGCAAAAUGUCCAAAAUAUGGCCACCAAUUCAGAAUUGAAGAGGAAUAAUUGGUACUAUAUGUAGUGACCCUUUUGAGAAACAAUUUACAAAAUCUGAUGUUGAUGAGCAUCGGGGAGGAUAUUAUUAAACAAGGAAGAUGUGAGGAGUAAACUAUUACCAUUAUUGAAUUCUAAUUCAUGCCCAACUUGAAGGAAAUCAGACAUGGCUUUUAGAAUGACAUACUUUUUACUAAAACAAAAUAUUUAAACACAAUAAAAUAAUGGGAGUUGCAACUGCCAAAUGAUUGAUCCUAAGGUCCGACUAGAAGAAAAGAGUUCACUGAACUAUUGAGAUUAAGGAAUUAUACAUUUUGGAAAUAAAGAACUACCAAAUCCUCAUUUUGCCAAGAAGUACUAAAGCCAGAAUGAAGAUUGCUUUACCAUAUGGAGAACAAGAAGCACAUACGUGGGAAUUCUAAUUUACAUAAAACCAAUUUUCACUUCAACUUAUUAUAAAGAUGCUUGAAUAUCUCAUUUUAAAACAAAGAUCCAUGAAUAAGAUUAUCAAGUGAUGCAAGUAUAUGUCACUGUAAUUAUACUUGUUCUUCGAGAAAUCAUUGUUGACAGCCUCUUCUAACAAUCAACCGCACUAUUGCAGAGUUCACAUCAAGACUUUUAAUUACAAUCCUUAAUGAAAUCAAGGAGGAAUAAAUAAUUUUACUGUAAUUACAGUUCAUUUAUAAUGAUAUCCAAACAUAAACAGAAGAUGCUCGGCUCUUAAUUCAAAUUUGUCAAUCCCAUAGUUUAUUCAAUCCGACUUUUGGCUUCAAAUUUAACAGCCCGACCAAUUAAUGGCUAAAUCUGUAAGUCACAACUAUACAAGACAAGAACAAAACUCUUCUCAUCACCCAUUACUACACAGCUUUUUAUCAAACAUAAGGAUCAUAAUUUUAUUUUAAUUAAAACUCAUGCUUAACAAUCAGGAUAUGCAAAUCAGCAAACAAAAAAAACCAUUAAACUCAGCAUGUAAAAACAUGAUUCACACUUCACAUACUUUCAGUCCAAAAUGAAUAUGUUGUCAUAUGAUUCGAAUGAUGAAUACAUAAUCAGAAAAGUGAUUAAUACCUGGACAGCAGUAGUAAGACUUUAAAAUAGCCAAAUAAGGCCUAAAAUAACUUCAAAUUAGUGGUCAGCUACUAAUUGAAGGAGAAACGGCAACAAACAGCUUCGACUUCUGAAAUAGAAGUCAAAAUCGAACACCCAUGAGAUGUAUAAGUACUGCAGCAAUAAUCGGACCAGAUUUACAUUCUUCGUGGUUCCUUUUCUUUACUUUUUUUUUGUUUUCGAAGCUUUGAAGGAGGGGAUGCGUCUGGCUUGUGCUUGAGAAGGGAUUUUCUGAUUGUAAAGAGGGAAGGUUUUCUUCUUCUUCUUUUUUUCUUCUGUUCUUCAGAGGAUUGGAGAUGGGAGUUAUGCGCUGUUUUUCUAUUUCUCAGGGUCUUCCCCGAUCCCUU
rnacentral:lncRNA from 1 species